rnacentral:rRNA from 1 species
GAAUUCACUAGUGAUUCAGGCCUAACACAUGCAAGUCGAGCGGUAGAGAGAAGCUUGCUUCUCUUGAGAGCGGCGGACGGGUGAGUAAUGCCUAGGAAUCUGCCUGGUAGUGGGGGAUAACGUUCGGAAACGGACGCUAAUACCGCAUACGUCCUACGGGAGAAAGCAGGGGACCUUCGGGCCUUGCGCUAUCAGAUGAGCCUAGGUCGGAUUAGCUAGUUGGUGAGGUAAUGGCUCACCAAGGCUACGAUCCGUAACUGGUCUGAGAGGAUGAUCAGUCACACUGGAACUGAGACACGGUCCAGACUCCUACGGGAGGCAGCAGUGGGGAAUAUUGGACAAUGGGCGAAAGCCUGAUCCAGCCAUGCCGCGUGUGUGAAGAAGGUCUUCGGAUUGAAAGCACAUGAAGUUGGGAGGAAGGGCAUUACCUAAUACGUUAGUGUUUGACG